rnacentral:rRNA from 1 species
UACGUAGGGCGCAAGCGUUGUCCGGAAUUAUUGGGCGUAAAGAGCUCGUAGGCGGCUUGUCACGUCGGAUGUGAAAGCCCGGGGCUUAACUCCGGGUCUGCAUUCGAUACGGGCUGGCUAGAGUGUGGUAGGGGAGAUCGGAAUUCCUGGUGUAGCGGUGAAAUGCGCAGAUAUCAGGAGGAACACCGGUGGCGAAGGCGGAUCUCUGGGCCACUACUGACGCUGAGGAGCGAAAGCGUGGGGAGCGAACAGG